AAUAAUCCUGUAGUCGAAAAUGUUGUCUCUCUUGAGUGGAUCCUGAGUACGACGGAGCACGUGAAAUUCCGUCGGAAUCUGGGAGGACCAUCUCCUAAGGCUAAAUACUCUCUAGUGACCGAUAGUGAACCAGUACCGUGAGGGAAAGGUGAAAAGCACCCCGGAAGGGGAGUGAAAUAGAACCUGAAACCGUGUGCUUACAAGUAGUCAGAGCCCGUUAAUGGGUGAUGGCGUGCCUUUUGUAGAAUGAACCGGCGAGUUACGAUUUGAUGCAAGGUUAAGCAGUAAAUGUGGAGCCGUAGCGAAAGCGAGUCUGAAUAGGGCGUUUAGUAUUUGGUCGUAGACCCGAAACCAGGUGAUCUACCCUUGGUCAGGUUGAAGUUCAGGUAACACUGAAUGGAGGACCGAACCGACUUACGUUGAAAAGUGAGCGGAUGAACUGAGGGUAGCGGAGAAAUUCCAAUCGAACCUGGAGAUAGCUGGUUCUCUCCGAAAUAGCUUUAGGGCUAGCCUCAAGUGAUGAUUAUUGGAGGUAGAGCACUGUUUGGACGAGGGGCCCCUCUCGGGUUACCGAAUUCAGACAAACUCCGAAUGCCAAUUAAUUUAACUUGGGAGUCAGAACAUGGGUGAUAAGGUCCGUGUUCGAAAGGGAAACAGCCCAGACCACCAGCUAAGGUCCCAAAAUAUAUGUUAAGUGGAAAAGGAUGUGGCGUUGCCCAGACAACUAGGAUGUUGGCUUAGAAGCAGCCAUCAUUUAAAGAGUGCGUAAUAGCUCACUAGUCGAGUGACACUGCGCCGAAAAUGUACCGGGGCUAAACAUAUUACCGAAGCUGUGGAUUGUCCUUUGGACAAUGGUAGGAGAGCGUUCUAAGGGCGUUGAAGCAUGAUCGUAAGGACAUGUGGAGCGCUUAGAAG
rnacentral:rRNA from 1 species